UAGCGUUGUUCGGAAUUACUGGGCGUAAAGGGCGCGUAGGCGGUGAUCUUUGUCAGAGGUGAAAGCCCGGGGCUCAACUCCGGAAUUGCCUUUGAAACGGGAUUGCUUGAGUCCGAGAGAGGAUGGCGGAAUUCCUAGUGUAGAGGUGAAAUUCGUAGAUAUUAGGAAGAACACCGGUGGCGAAGGCGGCCAUCUGGCUCGGUACUGACGCUGAUGCGCGAAAGCGUGGGGAGCAAACAGG
rnacentral:rRNA from 1 species